CUGCCACUCAUAACUCAGACAAGCAGAUGAUUUUAUGUCCGAGAAAAUAAAUAGGUGUGUUCCCCUAGACAUCCCAAAUUUAAUAAAACAUUGAAGUUGUCUUUGUCUUAUCAUAAAUUUAUACUCCACUACUCUCGACAACACGCACACAAUACACGAUCGUCGUCAGAUCACCCAUAGACAAGUGUUGGGUGUUCUUAUCCGCGUAAUCCCCUUCGCGCGCCACGACUGAAGCGACUACACUCUCACCUACCGGGUUGAAACAAGUGCACAUUAGACGGGUGUCAUGUGCAAAUGGACGAAACUCAACAGCAGAAGGCCGAUCGAGGUUCUAGCACAACCACACUAGUAGCCAACACUAAUACUCGCAGUGCUCCACCGUGAAACUGUUAUCUCUACAAUCACGCGACUGUGUAAUCCCGCGGGAGAGAGUGAGCUACCGAAGCCGAUUGCGAACCGAUAUAGGCGUGGGGUGCACUAACAUCGACAUCAGUUACCAGUUGAAAGUCAAGCAGACCGGUUCUUCGUUCUGGAGGCCCACGAGACUCGUCCGGAGAAGUGUGCAAAUUAGGAGUCUGACUGGUAGCGUGGCUGGCCUAAGAAGGCCAAUACUUGAUCUGCGGCACUGUGUUUAACAGCCACGAGGCCACAGUGGGCAGGUAAUCUUGAUCUUGCCCUAGUUAGGUGGAAGUUGACCGAUAUUUAAUUAUGCUUAAACAUGUGUAGUGAUAGUCGCAACAUCGAACGCAGUUUGCACCGCAUGUGCAGGGAGAACAACUACUGCCUGUGUGUAACUACAAUGGAGCUUGUCGAGUAGAUUGAAUCGACACAGGAGAUCGGCCUUCUAUUCUAUCCAUAUUCAACUCUAAUUUCACCAUGUCGGCUGGAGCCGUGAUGCUGUGGAACGUGUCGUGGUUGGCGUCCUGCUACGGUAAUACGGCGGGGAACGCUGGGGAUGACCGGUGUGGAAUACUGGUCACCGUCGCGGAUUUUGCCCGGGCAGUUCAUCGAAGAAGCCGCAGCCGCCGUGGGAUACACGUCACACACACACACGCCCCACACCUAGAUUAGGCCCGCCAACUAGUUCAUAAGGACGUCACCUAGUUGUAAGAUCAUCGCAAUAGAUGUAAGUAAACGCAAA